rnacentral:rRNA from 4 species
AGACCCGAAACCCGGUGAUCUAGCCAUGGGCAGGUUGAAGGUUGGGUAACACUAACUGGAGGACCGAACCGACUAAUGUUGAAAAAUUAGCGGAUGACCUGUGGCUGGGGGUGAAAGGCCAAUCAAACCGGGAGAUAGCUGGUUCUCCCCGAAAGCUAUUUAGGUAGCGCCUCGUGAAUUCAUCUCCGGGGGUAGAGCACUGUUUCGGCUAGGGGGCCAUCCCGGCUUACCAACCCGAUGCAAACUGCGAAUACCGGAGAAUGUUAUCACGGGAGACACACGGCGGGUGCUAACGUCCGUCGUGAAGAGGGAAACAACCCAGACCGCCAGCUAAGGUCCCAAAGUCAUGGUUAAGUGGGAAACGAUGUGGGAAGGCCCAGACAGCCAGGAUGUUGGCUUAGAAGCAGCCAUCAUUUAAAGAAAGCGUAAUAGCUCACUGGUCGAGUCGGCCUGCGCGGAAGAUGUAACGGGGCUAAACCAUGCACCGAAGCUGCGGCAGCGA